rnacentral:rRNA from 1 species
CAGCCGCCGCGGGAAUACGAAGGGUGCAAGCGUUACUCGGAAUUACUGGGCGUAAAGCGUGCGUAGGUGGUGGUUUAAGUCCGUUGUGAAAGCCCUGGGCUCAACCUGGGAAUUGCAGUGGAUACUGGGUCACUAGAGUGUGGUAGAGGAUAGUGGAAUUUCCGGUGUAGUAGUGAAAUGCGUAGAGAUCGGAAGGAACAUCUGUGGCGAAGGCGACUAUCUGGGCCAACACUGACACUGAGGCACGAAAGCGUGGGGAGCAAACAGGAUUAGAUACCCGGGUAGUCCCUGUCUCUUAUAA